UCACCUCCCACCCGUGUUUAUUUUACCUUGUUGCUUCGGCGGGCCCGCCUUAACUGGCCGCCGGGGGGCUUACGCCCCCGGGCCCGCGCCCGCCGAAGACACCCUCGAACUCUGUCUGAAGAUUGUAGUCUGAGUGAAAAUAUAAAUUAUUUAAAACUUUCAACAACGGAUCUCUUGGUUCCGGCAUCGAUGAAGAACGCAGCGAAAUGCGAUACGUAAUGUGAAUUGCAAAUUCAGUGAAUCAUCGAGUCUUUGAACGCACAUUGCGCCCCCUGGUAUUCCGGGGGGCAUGCCUGUCCGAGCGUCAUUGCUGCCCUCAAGCACGGCUUGUGUGUUGGGCCCCGUCCUCCGAUCCCGGGGGACGGGCCCGAAAGGCAGCGGCGGCACCGCGUCCGGUCCUCGAGCGUAUGGGGCUUUGUCACCCGCUCUGUAGGCCCGGCCGGCGCUUGCCGAUCAACCCAAAUUUUUAUCCAGGUUGACCUCGGAUCAGGUAGGGAUACCCGCUGAACUUAAGCAUAUCAAUAG
rnacentral:rRNA from 1 species